rnacentral:rRNA from 1 species
AACGAACGCUGGCGGCGCGCCUAAUACAUGCAAGUCGAGCGAGAAGACGUAGCAAUACGUUUGUAAAGCGGCGAACGGGUGAGGAAUACAUGGGUAACCUACCCUCGAGUGGGGAAUAACUAGCCGAAAGGUUAGCUAAUACCGCGUACGCUCCUUGGACUUCGGUUCAGGGAGGAAAGCGAUACCGUGGGUAUCGCGCUCUUGGAUGGGCUCAUGUCCUAUCAGCUUGUUGGUGAGGAACGGCUCACCAAGGCUUCGACGGGUAGCUGGUCUGAGAGGACGAUCAGCCACACUGGCACUGCGACACGGGCCAGACUCCUACGGGAGGCAGCAGUAAGGAAUAUUGCGCAAUGGGCGAAAGCCUGACGCAGCGACGCCGCGUGGGGGAUGAAGGUCUUCGGAUUGUAAACCCCUUUCGGGAGGGAAGAUGGAACGAGCAAUCGUUCGGACGGUACCUCCAGAAGCAGCCACGGCUAACUUCGUGCC